CAAAAGGCUCUUUUCAGAACCAAUUUUUUUAAAAAAAAUUUUCUCU
rfam:Stegodyphus mimosarum contig124699, whole genome shotgun sequence.